rnacentral:tRNA from 1 species
GACACCGCCCUUUCACGGCGGUAACAGGGGUUCGAGUCCCCUAGGGGACGCCA